AGAGUUUGAUCCUGGCUCAGGAUGAACGCUAGCGGCAGGCUUAACACAUGCAAGUCGAGGGGCAGCAUAAUGGAUAGCAAUAUCUAUGGUGGCGACCGGCGCACGGGUGCGUAACGCGUAUGCAACCUACCUUUAACAGGGGGAUAACACUGAGAAAUUGGUACUAAUACCCCAUAAUAUCAUAGAAGGCAUCUUUUAUGGUUGAAAAUUCCGAUGGUUAGAGAUGGGCAUGCGUUGUAUUAGCUAGUUGGCGGGGUAACGGCCCCCCAAGCCGACGAUGUCUAGGGGUUCUGAGAGGAAGGUCCCCCACACUGGUACUGAGACACGGACCAGACUCCUACGGGAGGCAGCAGUGAGGAAUAUUGGUCAAUGGACGCAAGUCUGAACCAGCCAUGCCGCGUGCAGGAUGACGGCUCUAUGAGUUGUAAACUGCUUUUGUACGAGGGUAAACGCAGAUACGUGUAUCUGUCUGAAAGUAUCGUACGAAUAAGGAUCGGCUAACUCCGUGCCAGCAGCCGCGGUAAUACGGAGGAUUCAAGCGUUAUCCGGAUUUAUUGGGUUUAAAGGGUGCGUAGGCGGUUUGAUAAGUUAGAGGUGAAAUUUCGGGGCUCAACCCUGAACGUGCCUCUAAUACUGUUGAGCUAGAGAGUAGUUGCGGUAGGCGGAAUGUAUGGUGUAGCGGUGAAAUGCUUAGAGAUCAUACAGAACACCGAUUGCGAAGGCAGCUUACCAAACUAUAUCUGACGUUGAGGCACGAAAGCGUGGGGAGCAAACAGGAUUAGAUACCCUGGUAGUCCACGCAGUAAACGAUGAUAACUCGUUGUCGGCGAUACACAGUCGGUGACUAAGCGAAAGCGAUAAGUUAUCCACCUGGGGAGUACGUUCGCAAGAAUGAAACUCAAAGGAAUUGACGGGGGCCCGCACAAGCGGAGGAACAUGUG
rnacentral:rRNA from 1 species